rnacentral:rRNA from 1 species
GACGAACGCUGGCGGCGUGCUUAACACAUGCAAGUCGAGCGGUAAGGCCUUUCGGGGUACACGAGCGGCGAACGGGUGAGUAACACGUGGGUGAUCUGCCCUGCACUUCGGGAUAAGCCUGGGAAACUGGGUCUAAUACCGGAUAUGACCUCCUAUCGCAUGGUGGGUGGUGGAAAGAUUUAUCGGUGCAGGAUGGGCCCGCGGCCUAUCAGCUUGUUGGUGGGGUAAUGGCCUACCAAGGCGACGACGGGUAGCCGACCUGAGAGGGUGACCGGCCACACUGGGACUGAGACACGGCCCAGACUCCUACGGGAGGCAGCAGUGGGGAAUAUUGCACAAUGGGCGAAAGCCUGAUGCAGCGACGCCGCGUGAAGGAUGACGGCCUUCGGGUUGUAAACCUCUUUCAGCAGGGACGAAGCGCAAGUGACGGUACCUGUAGAAGAAGCACCGGCUAACUACGUG